UACGUAGGUGGCAAGCGUUGUCCGGAUUUAUUGGGUUUAAAGGGUGCGUAGGCGGCCUUGUAAAUCAGUGGUGAAUAACUCAGCUUAACUGGAGGGGUGCCAAUGAUACUGCAGGGCUUGAGUACAGAUGAGGUAGGCGGAAUUGACGGUGUAGCGGUGAAAUGCAUAGAUAUCGUCAAGAACACCGAUAGCGAAGGCAGCUUACUGGGCUGUAACUGACGCUGAGGCACGAAAGUGUGGGGAUCAAACAGG
rnacentral:rRNA from 1 species